AUUGAACGCUGGCGGCAGGCUUAACACAUGCAAGUCGAGCGGAGAUGAGGUGCUUGCACCUUAUCUUAGCGGCGGACGGGUGAGUAAUGCUUAGGAACCUGCCUAUUAGUGGGGGACAACAUUCCGAAAGGAAUGCUAAUACCGCAUACGCCCUACGGGGGAAAGCAGGGGAUCUUCGGACCUUGCGCUAAUAGAUGAGCCUAAGUCGGAUUAGCUAGUUGGUGGGGUAAAGGCCUACCAAGGCGACGAUCUGUAGCGGGUCUGAGAGGAUGAUCCGCCACACUGGGACUGAGACACGGCCCAGACUCCUACGGGAGGCAGCAGUGGGGAAUAUUGGACAAUGGGCGGAAGCCUGAUCCAGCCAUGCCGCGUGUGUGAAGAAGGCCUUUUGGUUGUAAAGCACUUUAAGCGGGGAGGAGGCUACCUGGAUUAAUACUCUAGGAUAGUGGACGUUACUCGCAGAAUAAGCACUGGCUAACUCUGUGCCAGCCGCCGCGGUAACAC
rnacentral:rRNA from 1 species